rnacentral:rRNA from 1 species
CCUACGGGAGGCAGCAGUGGGGGAUAUUGCACAAUGGGGGAAACCCUGAUGCAGCGACGCCGCGUGAGUGAAGAAGUAUUUCGGUAUGUAAAGCUCUAUCAGCAGGGAAGAAAAUGACAGUACCUGACCAAGAAGCCCCGGCUAACUACGUGCCAGCAGCCGCGGUAAUACGUAGGGGGCAAGCGUUAUCCGGAUUUACUGGGUGUAAAGGGAGCGUAGACGGUUAUGUAAGGCUGGAGUGAAAGCCCGGGGCCCAACCCCGGGACUGCUUUGGAAACUGUGUAACUGGAGGACAAGAGGGGCAGGCGGAAAUUCUGGUGUAGCGGUGAAAUGCGUAGAUAUCAGGAAGAAAACCGGCGGCGAAGGCGGCCUGCUGGGCCGAAACUGACGUUGAGGCUCGAAAGGGUGGGGAGGCAACCGGAUUAGAUACCCGAGUAGUC